rnacentral:tmRNA from 1 species
GGGGGCGUUUUGGCUUCGACGGGAGUGGUCAGCGUCCAGUGAGACGAGCCGAGUUUGCUGGAGACUCGUAAAACGCCGGCACCAAAGAUACACGCCAACAACGAAAUGGCUCUGGCUGCUUAAUUAACUGAGUAGCCCAUCGGUCCGGGUGGCCCACGGCCCGGGGUCCGGUGUCAUCAAGUGGGCUCUACCCCUGGGGUUCUGGCCCGGAGCCUCUGGGGGACAUUUAA